rnacentral:lncRNA from 1 species
UUUUUUUUUUUUUUUUUUUUUUUUUUUUUUUUUUUAAAGCAGGAUGAACCUCGAUUCCUCCCUUACAAUGAACCCCAACAUCUUACCGGACCGCACUCUGAACGUGCACUUAUCUGAAUUCAACCUCGGUUUGAAUUGUCUCCACCAGAUGCCCCACUCCUGUUUGGGACUUUGCUAUCAAGUCAUAGCAUUGCAUUCAACUUCAUGAUGAAUUAUAUCAUGAAACAAAGUCACC